UACGUAGGCAGCAAGCGUUGUUCGGAGUUACUGGGCGUAAAGAGUGCGUAGGCGGUGGUCUAAGUCUGGUGUGAAAUCUCCCGGCUCAACUGGGAGGGUGCGCCGGAAACUGGGCUGCUGUGAGUGUGGGAAAGGCAGGCGGAAUUCCUGGUGUAGCGGUGAAAUGCGUAGAUAUCAGGAGGAACACCGGCGGUGUAGACAGCUUGCUAGACCAUCACUGACGCUGAGGCACGAAAGCGUGGGUA
rnacentral:rRNA from 1 species